rnacentral:misc_RNA from 1 species
UCGAAGCAUCAAGCAUGGCUUGUCGUUGGGCCCUUUUAUCACCGGGUGGUAGGUCCAAAAGAUAAUGAGCAGUGUCCUAAGGACCCUAUAUGCAAUGAGCUUCUAACAGCAUGCAUCUAGUGGUCGUAGGCCCGGUCUAACCCCCCUAUUUCUCAA